rnacentral:tRNA from 1 species
GCAAUGGUUGUUCAGUGGUAGAAUUCUCAACUACCAUGCGGGAGACCCAAGUUCCAUUCCUGGCCAAUGCC